GACGAACGCUGGCGGCGUGCCUAAUACAUGCAAGUAGAACGCACAGUUUAUACCGUAGCUUGCUACACCAUAGACUGUGAGUUGCGAACGGGUGAGUAACGCGUAGGUAACCUGCCUGGUAGCGGGGGAUAACUAUUGGAAACGAUAGCUAAUACCGCAUAAUAUUAAUUAUUGCAUGAUAAUUAAUUGAAAGGUGCAAUUGCACCACUACCAGAUGGACCUGCGUUGUAUUAGCUAGUAGGGGAGGUAACGGCUCACCUAGGCGACGAUACAUAGCCGACCUGAGAGGGUGAUCGGCCACACUGGGACUGAGACACGGCCCAGACUCCUACGGGAGGCAGCAGUAGGGGAUCUUCGGCAAUGGACGAAAGGCUGACCGAGCAACGCCGCGUGAGUGAAGAAGGGUUUCGGAUCGUAAAGCUCUGUUGUAAGAGAAGAACGGGGGUGAGAGUGGAAAGUUCACACUGUGACGGUAUCUUACCAGAAAGGGACGGCUAACUACGUG
rnacentral:rRNA from 1 species